rnacentral:rRNA from 1 species
UACGAAGGGGGCUAGCGUUGCUCGGAAUCACUGGGCGUAAAGCGCACGUAGGCGGAUCUUUAAGUCAGGGGUGAAAUCCCGGAGCUCAACUCCGGAACUGCCUUUGAUACUGGGGAUCUUGAGUCCGGGAGAGGUGAGUGGAACUGCGAGUGUAGAGGUGAAAUUCGUAGAUAUUCGCAAGAACACCAGUGGCGAAGGCGGCUCACUGGCCCGGUACUGACGCUGAGGUGCGAAAGCGUGGGGAGCGAACAGG